CCUACGGGGGGCUGCAGUGGGGAAUAUUGGACAAUGGGGGGAACCCUGAUCCAGCCAUGCCGCGUGUGUGAAGAAGGCCCUCGGGUUGUAAAGCACUUUCAGUGAGGAAGAACGCCUGGUGGUUAAUACCCAUCAGGAAAGACAUCACUCACAGAAGAAGCACCGACUAACUCCGUGCCAGCAGCCGCGGUAAUACGGAGGGUGCGAGCGUUAAUCGGAAUUACUGGGCGUAAAGCGCGCGUAGGUGGCUUGAUAAGCCGGUUGUGAAAGCCCCGGGCUCAACCUGGGAACGGCAUCCGGAACUGUCAAGCUAGAGUGCAGGAGAGGAAGGUAGAAUUCCCGGUGUAGCGGUGAAAUGCGUAGAGAUCGGGAGGAAUACCAGUGGCGAAGGCGGCCUUCUGGACUGACACUGACACUGAGGUGCGAAAGCGUGGGUAGCAAACAGGAUUAGAUACCCGAGUAGUC
rnacentral:rRNA from 1 species